UACGGGGGGGGCAAGCGUUGUUCGGAAUUACUGGGCGUAAAGGGCUCGUAGGCGGCCAACUAAGUCAGACGUGAAAUCCCCCGGCUUAACCAGGGAACUGCGUCUGAUACUGGAUGGCUUGAGUUUGGGAGAGGGAUGCGGAAUUCCAGGUGUAGCGGUGAAAUGCGUAGAUAUCUGGAGGAACACCGGUGGCGAAGGCGGCAUCCUGGACCAAUUCUGACGCUGAGGAGCGAAAGCCAGGGGAGCAAACGGG
rnacentral:rRNA from 1 species